UUAGGUUUUUCAAUUAUGUGAAAUAUAUAAGCUGUCUCCCUUCGAUGUACAUUUAAUGAAGGCUAUACCGGGAUAUGAUCUGAGUAUUAUAAAUAUACGGCGUUUUCGCCGAUGUGAAAUGCUAUCAAAAUCCUCCCCAAAUUAAGAUUGUGAUGUUUUUUACAGUGGCAGGCGUAUUUCCAGACGCGUGUUCGUAUGUAUGCGCUUGUGCGCGAGCAGAGCGUGCUGAACAGGCAGAAUAAUCGGGUCGAACUUCGGAGCAGGAUUUCUAAGCAGAGUCCUCGUAUAAGUGAACGACGGAUAUAGUGCUUGAAUGUCUAUACCGACGCAUCGAACCUCGCCCGAGGCUUAAUGCAGAGAAGGAUAGCGAAUAUGCAACUCUUUGCUUGCGUAACUCUCCUCUGUUAUUGUUGUUAUUGUUACUGUUGAUUAUUCAGGAUUUCUAACCAGAAACCUCGCAUAAAUGAACGAUGAGUAUGAGCUUGAAUGUCUGUACCGACAAGUCGAACCACGCCGGAGGCAAUGCCAAGAAGGAUACUGGAUAAGCAACUCUUUCUCGGCAUAACUCUUCUACAUUAUUGUCAGUAUUGAUUAUUCUUAUUCGUUUUUCUGAGAAUUGUUAUGGACGGAUAAUGUGAAUUAGCUCUGAAAUAGGAGAUGAAGAUUUGAGUAUUAUAUUCAAGCAUCAGAUCAUGACCCAACAUGACAUAGGAGAUGAAGAUUAAGGCAAUAGUUUUGGCAGGUGCAGGUAUUAGUUGUGGCCAGUUGGAAAUUACUGCUUAGACAAAAAAGUUACCUGUCUAAAUCAAAGGAGUGUGAGUCCAACUUUUCUUUCCCUUCGACUUGGUGGAUUA